rnacentral:rRNA from 1 species
AUCAACUUUCGAUGGUAGGAUAGAGGCCUACCAUGGUGGUAACGGGUAACGGGGUGUUAGGGCACGACACCGGAGAGGGAGCCUGAGAAACGGCUACCACAUCCAAGGAUGGCAGCAGGCGCGCAAAUUACCCAAUCCCGACACGGGGAGGUAGUGACAAUAAAUAACAAUACGGGGUCCUUUCGGGUUUCGUAAUUGGAAUGAGUACAAUUUAAAUCUCUUAACGAGGAACAAUUGGAGGGCAAGUCUGGUGCCAGCAGCCGCGGUAAUUCCAGCUCCAAUAGCGUAUAUUAAAGUUGUUGCAGUUAAAAAGCUCGUAGUUGAAUUUCGGGAUUAGUACGUUGGUCGUGCCUUCGGUACGUACUGGUGUUACUGAUUCCUACCUUCUGACGAACCAUCAUGUCAUUAAUUUGGUGUGGUGGGGAAUCAGGACUGUUACUUUGAAAAAAUUAGAGUGUUUAAAGCAGGCUCGCGCUUGAAUACAUUAGCAUGGAAUAAUGAAAUAGGACGUUGACCCUAUUUUGUUGGUUUCUAGGAUUGACGUAAUGAUUAAUAGGGAUAGUUGGGGGCAUUAGUAUUCAAUUGUCAGAGGUGAAAUUCUUGGAUUUAUUGAAGACUAACUACUGCGAAAGCAUUUGCCAAGGAUGUUUUCAUUAAUCAAGAACGAAAGUUAGGGGAUCGAAGACGAUCAGAUACCGUCGUAGUCUUAACCAUAAACUAUGCCGACUAGGGAUCGGAUGAUGUUAUUUUUAAUGACUCAUUCGGCGCCUUACGGGAAACCAAAGUGUUUGGGUUC